UAUCCUCAUAAGUUUGACAAUAAGAGAAACCAUAUAAAAUUAAAUUUACCAAAAUUUAAUUAAUAUUAUGGUAUAAUAAAAUCGGAGGCCACGACUGUUUACUAAAAACACAAUUCAGAGCAAUAAUUAAUAUAAUAGUAUUCUGGAUGAAAUUUGCCCAAUGCCAUUAAUAUAAGAGAGGUAAUAUUAAAGUUACUAAUCGAAAGUCUGGUUAAUAGCGGUCUUAACUAUGAGGAUCCUAAGGUAGCAAAAUAAAUUGGCCAUUAAAUGUGGUCUUGUAUCAAUAAUGUAACGAUGGUCUCACUGUCUCUACAACUUGCUCAGUGAAAUUGAAUUGCGAGUGCAGAUGCUCGCUGUCUUCAGAGGGACGGGAAGACCCUAU
rnacentral:rRNA from 1 species